UACUGAGGAAUGUCUUUAUUAUUAUGUUGCCUCAGCAUUCAGAUGCAGGGGUGGAACUGUGGAUGACAACUGAGCAGCUAAAGACAACUUUAUGCUGAUACAAAAACACACAAUUUUCUGAUGAUGACUACUCUGAUGAUGACUAUUAUUAGUCAUGCAAUUCAUCGGUGUCUAAAUUGGCAACAUCACUCUAAUCUCAAGGGUUUAAUGGUCAAAACUGAGUUCAGUAUUACCUGAAGAUCCAGGCAUCCACUUUUGAACGUCAGCUGCUUGAAAGAAGCACAAAAUAUCAAGUAAACAGCAAACUGUAAUCAGGUCUCAAGAAAACAAAAGAUAAACUGCUGGGAAAGAAUACAAGACAACCUUCUGAUUUCCUGCUGAAAUGCUAAGAUCAAAUGGACCAGACUCUGUAAUGAGGAGAAGCACAGGACACAAAGGAAAAAAGCAAAGGAUCAGAUCCACAGCUGCCUUCAUAACUGCCAACAGUGGUACCUAUAUCCUAAACUUAGACCCGAAAAAAACUCAUUUGCCACCAAUUCAUAGAAGCAAGUUUCCAACAGUAAGUUUCUGUAGCCUGAAAAUGCACUUCUGCAAAUGCCUAGAACUGCUUGUGUUGUCAGUGCAUCAUAACUAGAUGCCUAAACUUCAUCAAGGUAUAUUCUCUCAGGGCUUCUCUAUUUACCCUGUAAAAUAAAACCUAGUAGAUACUCAGAAAGUACUAAUAUCUUUCUGCACAAUAUACAUUGAAAAGGUUCUCUUCAUCCCUUCUGUUUGCAUUGCUAUGCUUCACUUAUCUAGGAUAAGACAACAUAUUUUUGUUCCUUUGACUAAAAAACUCUAUUGUCAUGAGUCUCUAUUCUUCUACAAUGUACAAAUAUCUACAUCUUUUUGUAUUUUUGCUGUAGUUUUAUUAAUUUGUAGGGGAAACUGACACAGUCAGAACUUGUUUAUGCUAAAUUUUCAUCUGCCAUGUUCACCUUGCCUGGUGUGCACUU